UUUUCAUAUUUGAGCAGCGUUUCAUCUGUAAUUUGACGUUCCCCGUGAAAUAACAAAAUAAUGCUGGCGAUAUCAACUUUUUGAGAUGAAAAUCACCUCUCAUCCUUUCAAUGGUGUUACAGUAUGGUUGAUGACGUAGUUUCAAACUUUGUUGCUGGAGUGAAGAUCUAGUAUUGAAUUGAGUUGCGUGCACAGUAGUCACACCGAAUAUGGAACACUAAGUUUAAUAGAAUUAAAUACUCGUGAAAAGUGAAUAGACUCGGCUUUAUACAUUUUACAACAAGUUUAUCUAAGACACCUAAUUUUCCAAAUGGAAUAGCGGUAAUCUGGUCCAGGCCUCAUUAAUUGUUAUAAAUUGAAAUCGAUUUCUCAUUAGUGUGAAAAAUGGAAAGUUUAGCCACUGUUAUAUACCAUUUAUUUUCCUUGCAUACUGUAAAAAUAUGAUCCAUAACAGUUUUUUUGUCAUCGUCGAAUUUCACUUUGUCACAUUUUAUCUAGUAAUUAAUUAAAAUCAGCAGACGGAAGACAAAGAUGUCUAGUAUUAAUAUAGAAAUUCCAUUUUUUUGACGUAAAUAGAAGAUAAAAUUUUGGUUUACCUAAUUUAACCAUUCUUCCGUUGAUGUUGAAUUACGUCCCUAUUCUUACAGCUCAAUGUUGUCAUAGAAACUCAUUCUAUGAAUUUUAUCAAAGUUAUAAGUUUAUUGUAACUUUACGUGGCUUCGAGCGAAUAUUAAUAUAUAACUCUGAUCGGUGUGAAAAUAGUCUUAUGAUUCGAUCACAAAGUAUGAUGAUCCCCACACUAGCAAUUAGAGACGACAAUUCUAUUUUUUAUAAUCUCAACACAAAUAAUUUGUACCGUAUUUUUCUGACGACAUAAAACAAUUCAGGAUAGUACUUCCCCAUAAUGCAGAUGUACAUCAUGUGACAUUUGGUAUACAUCAUUUCAGCUGGUAACUUCAAAAAAUAUUUCACUUCCUCGUUUGCGGGUUCAGAUGACAUAUUUCUCGGCAUUACCAUCUACUUAAAAUUGAUUCCGAAGAACUGGAAAAUUGAUAUAAGGAUUAGUCGACCAGUUACAUCUUUAAUGGCAAUGUCAAGCGCAAAAUGUGCCAACGUCUUAAUCUAUUGGAAUGGUUUUCUUUUGUCUUAUUUAAGUAUAUAUUCCUUCAAUAAUUUUCUGUACAUGGUAAGAAGAGUUAGACAAAAUGGAAGUUGAAAUAUCAAGGGCCAAUUUCAGGUUACAUAACUAGAUUUAAAGAUGUUCAGGCUGCUUCGACGUUGAUGUAAUGUUACGAAUCUGAUUAUUCGAAUUAAAAUCUAGAUUUGUAAACUGAAUGACCUGUGUAUUUUAACAUUGAAUAGCUGAUACUGAUGAUUCACUAAUGAUACUUUGAUUUUCAGCUUGGACAGCAAUUAGGAUAAAUAUAUUUAUUUUGUACACCAAGUUAUCAUUAAAUAGAUCCCAAUGUUGCAAAGUGCAUUCUCUGCUCGUAUCAAUCGACGCAUUAUAAAAUAUAUGUAUAUUGUAGCAUUAUAAAAUUGAUGAUGACUUGGGUAAAUUGAUCAUUUUUACAGCACGGAAUCAUUGUGUUUUUUUCAGCGAAAAUAAGCAGCUCAUUACUAUAAAAUAAUUCAACGAAAAAUCAAAUAAAAAUAUAGUAUUUAUUUAUCGUAUUUGACUGAUAUUACAACUGGCUUGUUUGGUGUACGUUCAUGAAGUUCUUUUUCUUUGUGGCAUAUGAAGCUCUCACAUUGCAAUGAUGAGCAAGCUUGAUCGAAUAUGUACAGCAAACAAACCAGGAAAAAUGUUUACUUAAGAAUAUGUAAAUAACUCAAGAUCAAACCUUUCGUCAGCUGUGGCACUCUCAUACUAUUCA
rnacentral:lncRNA from 1 species